rnacentral:rRNA from 1 species
UACGUAGGGGGCAAGCGUUGUCCGGAUUUAUUGGGCGUAAAGAGCGUGUAGGCGGCCAGACAGGUCCGUUGUGAAAACUCGAGGCUCAACCUCGAGACGCCGAUGGAAACCGUCUGGCUAGAGUCCGGAAGGGGAGAGUGGAAUUCCUGGUGUAGCGGUGAAAUGCGCAGAUAUCAGGAGGAACACCGGUGGCGAAGGCGGAUCUCUGGGCCAUUACUGACGCUGAGGAGCGAAAGCGUGGGGAGCGAACAGG